rnacentral:lncRNA from 1 species
UCCCGAGGAGGCGGCGGGGACCGCAGGCCUGUAAAGCCACGUGAAAACAGCUGUUUCAGUAGGAGAGAGCAGUGACCAACAGUGCUGGGAUACCUUGGCAAAUGAGAAAGCAAAUCUCUUGAAAUAUAAGCAGUGGUACUUUCCUGGAGGGAGGAGAUGGGAAUUCUCCUGUUGCUCUGAGUGUUGCCAGGUGCAAGAAGUGGUCCACAGUGGUGGUGGACAGUUAUUCUGAGUGACGGCCCUUGCA